GAGUUGCGAACGGGUGAGUAACGCGUAGGUAACCUGCCUGGUAGCGGGGGAUAACUAUUGGAAACGAUAGCUAAUACCGCAUAAAAUGGAUUAUCGCAUGAUAAUUGAUUGAAAGGUGCAAUUGCAUCACUACCAGAUGGACCUGCGUUGUAUUAGCUAGUUGGUGAGGUAACGGCUCACCAAGGCGACGAUACAUAGCCGACCUGAGAGGGUGAUCGGCCACACUGGGACUGAGACACGGCCCAGACUCC
rnacentral:rRNA from 1 species